rnacentral:sRNA from 1 species
AUUCUUGGUCAUUUUAGAGGAAGUAACAAGGAUUCCCCUAGUAACUGCGAGUGAAGCGGGAAAAGCUCAAAUUUAAAAUCUGGCAGUCUUUGGCUGUCCGAGUUGUAAUCUAGAGAAGUGCCAUCCGCGCUGGACCGUGUACAAGUCUCCUGAAUCGGAGCGUCAUAGAGGGUGAGAAUCCCGUCUUUGACACGGACUACCAGGGCUUUGUGAUGUGCUCUCAAAGAGUCGAGUUGUUUGGGAAUGCAGCUCAAAAUGGGUGGUAAAUUCCAUCUAAAGCUAAAUAUUGGCGAGAGACCGAUAGCGAACAAGUACCGUGAGGGAAAGAUGAAAAGAACUUUGGAAAGAGAGUUAAACAGUACGUGAAAUUGUUGAAAGGGAAACGCUUGAAGUCAGUCGCGUUCUUCCAGGAGUCUUUGUUUAACAGGGAUACUUCUGGUUGAACGGGUCAGCAUCAAUUUUGACUGUUGGAAAAAGGUCAGGGGAAUGUGGCACCUUCGGGUGUGUUAUAGCCUCUGAUUGUAUACAGCAGUUGGGAUUGAGGAACUCAGCACGCCGCAAGGCCGGGUGAAAACCACGUUCGUGCUUAGGAUGCUGGCAUAAUGGCUUUAAUCGACCCGUCUUGAAACACGGACCAAGGAGUCUAACAUGCCUGCGAGUAUUUGGGUGGAAAACCCAUAUGCGUAAUGAAAGUGAAAGUUGAGAUC